rnacentral:rRNA from 1 species
CGGGUGAGUAACGCGUGGGUAACCUGCCCUUAAGUCUGGGAUACCAUUUGGAAACAGAUGCUAAUACCGGAUAAAAGCUACUUUCGCAUGAAAGAAGUUUAAAAGGCGGCGUAAGCUGUCGCUAAAGGAUGGACCUGCGAUGCAUUAGCUAGUUGGUAAGGUAACGGCUUACCAAGGCGAUGAUGCAUAGCCGAGUUGAGAGACUGAUCGGCCACAUUGGGACUGAGACACGGCCCAAACUCCUACGGGAGGCAGCAGCU